GUCAACUACCCACCGCUUAGACUGACGUCUUGAAGCGGGGGCUUGUGAAAACAAGUCAGUUGAUUAGCCUGAGUGCUCAGGGCACUACGUUAUCUGCGAAUAUACAGGUACCCCGGGAUGCUCCACAAGUCCCGGGCACUA
rnacentral:sRNA from 1 species